UUUUUUUCUUCAGAAGUAUAAAUAUCCUCUACUCUCCUACACGGUUGCGCUCUGAAACCCUAGACGACGAUUGCACGUCGAAUUGGAUCCCUAAGGUUCAGAUAAGUACCGAGUUUGUUUUGAUGCCCCUUUAGUUUGCUAUAAGCGUUCUGUUUGUUUGUCCGGAAGGAAAAAUGAUCGGUUCCAUAUUACCCUUGCCAGCUCCUCCUACUGAUGGAAACCUGGGGCCUUUACCGCUAGCCCAGGUCACUGAAGUGAAGAAUGAAGAGAAUGAAUUGAACGAGGAGCUGAACAGAGCCAACUCGGUGCCUGUCUCAGUUGCUACGCAUACUAGGACGAUUGGUAUCAUACAUCCUCCUCCCGAUAUCAGAAACAUUGUUGACAAAACCUCCCAGUUUGUUGCAAAGAAUGGACCAGAAUUUGAGAAGAGGAUUAUAGCUAGUAAUAACGUAAAUCCAAAGUUUAACUUUUUGAGUUCCUCGGAUCCGUACCAUGCCUAUUAUCAGCACCGGUUGUCUGAAUUUCGUGCCCAGGCUCAGUCUUCUGGCCAGCAAUCUUCUUUGGAGCCUGAUGAUUCUGCUGCACCUGAAUCAGGCCUGCCAGCUCCAGCUGCUGAUGGUGAAGCAGAAACAACUAAGCCUGAUCCCUCUGCCCAGUUUAGACCGGUACGAAAAGUUCUUGAACCACCAGAAGCCGAGCAGUAUACUGUUAGGCUUCCAGAAGGGAUUACUGGAGAAGAAUUGGAUAUUAUUAAGCUCACAGCCCAGUUUGUUGCUCGAAAUGGGAAAUCAUUUUUGACAGGAUUAACAAGCAGAGAGAUCAAUAACCCCCAGUUCCAUUUUCUGAAGCCUACCCAUAGUAUGUUCAUGUUUUUCACUUCUCUGGCCGAUGCAUAUUCGAAGGUCUUGAUGCCUCCAAAAGGUUUGACAGAGAAGCUUAAGAAAAGUGUUGCAGACAUGACAACUGUGCUUGAACGCUGUGUGCAUCGGCUGGAGUGGGAGCGAUCUCAAGAGCAGGCAAGGCAGAAGGCUGAAGAUGAGAUAGAGCAGGAAAGGAUACAAAUGGCUAUGAUUGAUUGGCAUGAUUUUGUUGUGGUUGAAACGAUAGACUUUGCUGAUGAUGAGGAUGAGGAUUUACCUCCUCCAAUGACCCUUGAGGAGGUUAUAAGAAGGAGCAAGGUUACAGAUAUGGAAGAAGAUAUUAUUGAGCCUGGAAAGGAGAUGGAAAUGGAAAUGGAUGAAGAAGAAAUGCAGCUUGUUGAAGAGGGCAUGAGGCAAGCAAGACUUGAAGAGAAUAAUGAACAGAAGAAUGAGAAUAAGGUAACAGAUGAUCCUGAACCCCCAAUGAGAAUUGUGAAGAACUGGAAGAGACCUGAGGAUAGGAUUCCUGCUGAAAGAGAUCCAACAAAGGUUGUCAUUUCCCCGAUUACUGGAGAGCUUAUCCCUAUCAAUGAGAUGUCUGAACACAUGAGAAUCUCUCUCAUUGAUCCAAAAUACAAAGAGCAAAAAGAAAGGAUGUUUGCGAAGAUUAGGGAGACUACUCUUGCUCAGGAUGAUGAAAUCUCAAGGAACAUUGUGGGCCUUGCCCGAACCCGUCCGGAUAUUUUUGGUACUACAGAGGAAGAAGUUUCUAAUGCUGUCAAGGCUGAGAUCGAGAAAAAGAAAGAUGAGCAACCAAAGCAGGUCAUAUGGGAUGGUCACACUGGAAGCAUCGGCCGUACAGCAAAUCAGGCCAUGUCACAGAAUAUCAAUGGAGAGGAUCAGAACGAUGUUAACAAUCUUCCUGGUCCAGCAGCGCCUCCUCCAAGACCUGGUGUGCCUUCAAUUCCUCGUCCUCUUCCCCCACCACCUGGUCUUGCCUUGAAUCUUCCUCGUGUUCCUCCAAACACAGUUCAGUAUUCUGCUCCAUCUAGUGGUAGCCUCCCAGUACCUCAACUGAGGCCGCCAGUCCAAUAUUCAUCAGUUCGACCACCUGGACCUCCAAUGCCCAUGAGUUCUGGACAGCAGUCACUUUUGGUGAAUCGACCACCACCUAUGCAUCCAUCAAUGUCUAUGAAUGCUCCUAGUAAUCCUGUACCUCCACCACCUGGUUCUCAGUUUACACCUAUGCAAGCUCCCCGGCCUUAUAUGCAAAUGAUGCCUCCACCACCUUCAAUGCAAAUGAUGCCUCCACCACCUAUGCCUCAUGGAAUGAUGCCUCCGCCACCUCCACCUGAGGAAGCUCCUCCACCGCUCCCAGAGGAACCUGAGCCCAAGCGACAGAAGCUUGAUGACUCCAUGCUUAUUGCAGAAGAUAAGUUUCUGGCACAGCAUCCGGGGCCUGUUCGGAUCACCGUAUCUGUUCCCAAUGUUGAUGAAGGCAAUCUCAAAGGACAACUUUUGGAGAUCACAGUUCAGUCUUUAUCUGAAACUGUUGGAAGUCUGAAAGAGAAAAUUUCUGGGGAGAUCCAGCUUCCGGCAAACAAACAGAAAUUGAGUGGAAAACCUGGCUUUCUCAAGGACAAUUUGUCUCUUGCAUAUUACAAUGUUGGAGCAGGAGAAACACUUGCUCUUUCAUUGAGAGAACGUGGUGGUAGAAAACGAUGAACAGAUACUUUCAUGAGGCUGAUUAAGGAUUGGGCUAUGGUCUGUGCAACAAGUUAGAUGUGUGCUCUUCAUGCAUCUAAACCAGCCUGGACUGGGACCACUGGGUUUGAUUGCAACAUCAUGUUAGAGGAACAAGCAGGAUUUUAUAUCUAAUUUUCUUUAGGAUUAUUACAGCAGUGCGCUGCUCUAGUUACGCUCGAGAUAGCAUAGGAAUCUGGCAGCACAAUCUGUGUUAAGCUAGCUGUUGAUUGGGAAUUUCUUCAUUGUUUCAGACCCACUCCUCUGUUUUCCCAUGUCAGAGAAGAUAUAGAAUAUUUUGCCCUUAGAGUUUGUGGAUGAGUUGGUCUAUUUUUUGUUGAUAAUUCCCUUAAGUCUCUGGGUGGCAAUAUAAUUUGUGUUUAGUUUCUUUAGUCUUGUAUCUGUCACCCACCUUACAAGCAAGAUGAAGUUAAGGUCGCAUAUCCUAUUCUAGCAUGUCAUAUGGGCAAUGAACUGUUACUUGUUUUAGUACUUCUGGAGGCAUUCCCUUUUCAAAAAAGAAACCACAUCCUGCAAUUAGCUGCCAUCAUUUGUCGAGGUCAUUGUUGUCAAAUGCCUGCCGGUUCUCAAGACAAUCAGCGUUUAUGUCUCUGCAGCGCCCAAGAUCAAUUUCUCGAUUUGAUUAUUUUAGCUGGGACGAUCUAUUUAAGAAAAGAACCCACAGGAUACAUCUGAACAUUGAAUCCCAUUUGGUUGAUCAUGAGGGUGCGCGCAUUUUUCUUUUUGGAAACCGAGGAUUUCGUUCUCGGAAGGCUUCCCUUGGAUGAUAGAAUCUUCUUGUUUGUGAACUGCUGAUUGGAUUGAGAUGUAUUUGCAAAGAUAUAAUUCUGUCUUUGCAAAGAUACCAUAGAA